rnacentral:rRNA from 1 species
CCUACGGGAGGCAGCAGUGAGGAAUAUCGGUCAAUGGCCGGAAGGCUGAACCAGCCAAGUCGCGUGAGGGACGACUGCCCUAUGGGUUGUAAACCUCUUUUAUAAGGGAAGAAUAAAUGCUACGUGUAGCAUGAUGCCUGUACCUUAUGAAUAAGCAUCGGCUAACUACGGAACAGCAGCCGCGGUAAUACGGAGGAUGCGAGCGUUAUCCGGAUUGAUUGGGUUAAAAUGGUGCGUAGGCGGUUUUUUAAGUUAGUGGUAAAACGUCGGGGCUUCACCUUGAUUUGCCAUUAAUACUGUAAGACUCGAGUUCAGACGAGGUAGGCGGAAUAAGUUAAGUAGCGGUGAAAUGCUUAGAUAUAACUUAGAACUCCGAUAGCGAAGGCCGCUUACCAGACUGCGACUGACGCUGAAGCACGAGAGCGUGGGUAGCGAACAGGAUUAGAUACCCCAGUAGUC